AUGCAAGUCGAGCGGUAACAGAUCCAGCUUGCUGGAUGCUGACGAGCGGCGGACGGGUGAGUAAUGCAUAGGAAUCUGCCCGAUAGUGGGGGAUAACCUGGGGAAACCCAGGCUAAUACCGCAUACGUCCUACGGGAGAAAGGGGGCUCCGGCUCCCGCUAUGGGAUGAGCCUAUGUCGGAUUAGCUAGUUGGUGAGGUAACGGCUCACCAAGGCGACGAUCCGUAGCUGGUCUGAGAGGAUGAUCAGCCACAUCGGGACUGAGACACGGCCCGAACUCCUACGGGAGGCAGCAGUGGGGAAUAUUGGACAAUGGGGGAAACCCUGAUCCAGCCAUGCCGCGUGUGUGAAGAAGGCCCUCGGGUUGUAAAGCACUUUCAGCGAGGAAGAACGCCUAGCGGUUAAUACCCGCUAGGAAAGACAUCACUCGCAGAAGAAGCACCGGCUAACUCCGUGCCAGCAGCCGCGGUAAUACGGAGGGUGCAAGCGUUAAUCGGAAUUACUGGGCGUANAGCGCGCGU
rnacentral:rRNA from 1 species